rnacentral:rRNA from 1 species
UGGGGAAUAUUGGACAAUGGGGGGAACCCUGAUCCAGCCAUGCCGCGUGUGUGAAGAAGGCCUUUUGGUUGUAAAGCACUUUAAGCGAGGAGGAGGCUACUAGUAUUAAUACUACUGGAUAGUGGACGUUACUCGCAGAAUAAGCACCGGCUAACUCUGUGCCAGCAGCCGCGGUAAUACAGAGGGUGCGAGCGUUAAUCGGAUUUACUGGGCGUAAAGCGUGCGUAGGCGGCUGAUUAAGUCGGAUGUGAAAUCCCUGAGCUUAACUUAGGAAUUGCAUUCGAUACUGGUCAGCUAGAGUAUGGGAGAGGAUGGUAGAAUUCCAGGUGUAGCGGUGAAAUGCGUAGAGAUCUGGAGGAAUACCGAUGGCGAAGGCAGCCAUCUGGGCCUAAUACUGACGCUGAGGUACGAAAGCAUGGGGAGCAAACAGGAUUAGAUACCCUGGUAGUCCAUGCCGUAAACGAUGUCUACUAGCCGUUGGGGCCUUUGAGGCUUUAGUGGCGCAGCUAACGCGAUAAGUAGACCGCCUGGGGAGUACGGUCGCAAGACUAAAACUCAAAUGAAUUGACGGGGGCCCGCACAAGCGGUGGAGCAUGUGGUUUAAUUCGAUGC